GGCAUUGAAUGCAAUGCAUACCACUGUACGCUGCCGUAAACGAGAACACGGCCGAUAAACAAGCAUUCUGAUUGGGUUUGUUGUCCAUGCGUUCUCAUUGCCAGUUUGACGGCAUAAGAGUUAACGUCAGUAGGCAGCAAGACGUAAACGAAAAUGGUUGUGUUUUUGUUGUUACGUGAACGUUGAUUUAUUUAUGCAUCAUAAUAAUAAUUUUUUUUUGCGUUUUUUUUUUGUGUGUUCGUGUGCGAAACAACAAUCGUAACAACUAUUUACAAAAAAAAAAUUUAAGUAAAAAAAAAUAAAUAUUAUUGAUAUAUGUUUGUAUGUGCAAAGUGUUCGGCAAUGUUUAUAGAAAAUUACAAAAGAUAAUUAAAUACGACAACAAUAGCAACAACAACAACAAAGCGCAGCCAAUGCGGCUUUCGGCGUGACAACAAUACAAUUGUGCAAUUCAGAAAAAUUAAAAAAAAUAAUCAAAAAAUAAAUAUUAAAAAAAAAUCGAUAGAAAUAAAUAAAUGUAACAACAAAAGCGACUCGAUGUGAGCGCCAACAGUGGCUGCCAAAACAAAAAAAAAAA